ACCCCACUCCCAAUACCAUUCUUAAUUCCUAAUUAUAUAUUAAAACCCUAUGUUUUUCUCUCCCUCUCUCAUCUUUUUCCUUUUUCUCUGGUUCAACUUCUUUUCUCGGCAUCAGCGAUUCUUCUCUUCUCCUCUACAUCCUUUUCUUCUUUAGUUAAGAACCACACAAUACCACCAUAAAGUUACAUGCUAGUGAAGAUAAAAUCUAUCAUUCAAGUGAGAGUCUCUUGCGUUCUCUUUUGGGAGCCACGGUUGGUGCUUUGAUGAAGGAGAAUGGUACCAAGCCCUUCAUGAUUCCUCUUUUAAAUUAAUUGAGAUCUGUCGGUUAGUGGUUCGUUUGGUUGUCGCGCAGUUGUGGAGAGCAAUCAUGUUGGUUCUUCGUAACAGAAACUGAGUACCAGUAUGUUAUCAGAUUCAGAUCGUUCUGCUUAUAUUGUUUAUAGGCCUCAUUUGGAAGGUUGUCAUAUUUGUGUCUGUUGUUGAUCUGUCAUUCUGCAGCUAUAGGGGAGUCUUUGGGGGAAUUCAGUUUGAAUUGUUAUUUAUUGUUCUAAUUUAAGGAUUUGCACUUUAGUGCUGGAUUUGAAAUUUAUGUAUUCUUGAAAUUCUAGUUACGAAUGGAGAUGGUGAUAUUACAUAAAA